rnacentral:lncRNA from 1 species
GGUUUUUUGGCUGACUGUCAUCCUGUACUCCCCUCGUUGCCAGCGAAAUGGUAUGUGCCGGCUGUCUGAGCAACUCGUUGCUUCUUCCCCAGCUGGGCAUUCAGCAAGGCAGGGCGUGAAUUGUGUCGGACACACAGACUGACUAAAAGAGGGACAACGGCAGCAUCUAAGCCAACUCUGAAAAAAAAAGGACACCGCUCGGCAGGAAACCGGGUACCUUGAAGUGGACAUACAGAAUUAUUGUAGUACCCGGUUACUCUAUGUGAAAGAAAACAAAUACAGGCUACCAUCGUUAUAUGUAAAUACAUAAUAAUAUAUAUAUACAUAUAGGAGUAUAUAUCCGUUAUAUACACUGUGAUUAUGAAAGAGAUCUUUUACUAUUUAACAACUUAAAAAGCUCUGUUGGAUUUCGAAAUUUCGUGUUAUCUGCAAACAUAUAGCUACACAAACAUGCAUUGAUAUCCCCACAAAUUAUAUAUACUCGUCACCCAAUUUACAAUUAUACACGCUUUCACAGCUAUACAUACAUAAAUACAUACAUACAUACUUACAUACAUACGUACAUACAUACAUUGAUACUGUCACAAAUAUAUACUCACUCAUACCUACAUACAAAUACAUGUUUUACUACAGAAUAUUAGUGAAGGAAAAAAAAUACAAUUUAAAUAUUUAUCUAAAACACACAAAAGUAUAAUUAAUUGCUCUGCAUAUCAAAAUAGCCACAAGGAAUCAUUGUUACAUAAUAUUGUGAUAUAAUAUUUAUUUCUCCCUCCCACACACAUAUACACACACAUAUAUAUAGCUGUUAUCCCAUAAAUCGCAUUCCCCCACAACUAAUAUAGCCUUUACAUUAUUCCAUACUUUUUUCGAACAAAAGAGUGAAAGAAAAAAAGUUGUUCUUUUUAAAACUAUCAAAAGUACAAAUCGUCACUAAACAACCAUGAAGUCAGCUAAACUUGCUGUGAGCAGUGAAGGUAGCCCAGAGACAAAAAUCGACCAGGUU